rnacentral:rRNA from 1 species
UACGUAGGUGGCGAGCGUUGUCCGGAUUUACUGGGCGUAAAGGGAGCGCAGGCGGACUUUUAAGUGAGAUGUGAAAUACUCGGGCUCAACUUGAGUGCUGCAUUUCAAACUGGAAGUCUAGAGUGCUGGAGAGGAGAAUGGAAUUCCUAGUGUAGCGGUGAAAUGCGUAGAGAUUAGGAAGAACACCAGUGGCGAAGGCGGUUCUCUGGACUGUAACUGACGCUGAGGCUCGAAAGCGUGGGGAGCAAACAGG